rnacentral:rRNA from 1 species
GGUUAAGCGACUAAGCGUACACGGUGGAUGCCCUGGCAGUCAGAGGCGAUGAAGGACGUGCUAAUCUGCGAAAAGCGUCGGUAAGGUGAUAUGAACCGUUACAGCCGGCGAUGUCCGAAUGGGGAAACCCAGUGUGAUUCGUCACACUAUCGUUAACUGAAUACAUAGGUUAACGAGGCGAACCGGGGGAACUGAAACAUCUAAGUACCCCGAGGAAAAGAAAUCAACCGAGAUUCCCCCAGUAGCGGCGAGCGAACGGGGAGCAGCCCAGAGUCUGAAUCAGCUUGUGUGUUAGUGGAACGGUCUGGAAAGUCCGACGGUACAGGGUGAUAGUCCCGUACACCAAAAUGCACAGGCUGUGAACUCGAAGAGUAGGGCGGGACACGUGGUAUCCUGUCUGAAUAUGGGGGGACCAUCCUCCAAGGCUAAAUACUCCUGACUGACCGAUAGUGAACCAGUACCGUGAGGGAAAGGCGAAAAGAACCCCGGCGAGGGGAGUGAAAAAGAACCUGAAACCGUGUACGUACAAGCAGUGGGAGCACCUUCGGGUGUGACUGCGUACCUUUUGUAUAAUGGGUCAGCGACUUAUAUUCUGUAGCAAGGUUAACCGUAUAGGGGAGCCGCAGGGAAACCGAGUCUUAACUGGGCGUUAAGUUGCAGGGUAUAGACCCGAAACCCGGUGAUCUAGCCAUGGGCAGGUUGAAGGUUGGGUAACACUAACUGGAGGACCGAACCGACUAAUGUUGAAAAAUUAGCGGAUGACUUGUGGCUGGGGGUGAAAGGCCAAUCAAACCGGGAGAUAGCUGGUUCUCCCCGAAAGCUAUUUAGGUAGCGCCUCGUGAACUCAUCUUCGGGGGUAGAGCACUGUUUCGGCUAGGGGGUCAUCCCGACUUACCAACCCGAUGCAAACUACGAAUACCGAAGAAUGUUAUCACGGGAGACACACGGCGGGUGCUAACGUCCGUCGUGAAGAGGGAAACAACCCAGACCGCCAGCUAAGGUCCCAAAGUCAUGGUUAAGUGGGAAACGAUGUGGGAAGGCACAGACAGCCAGGAUGUUGGCUUAGAAGCAGCCAUCAUUUAAAGAAAGCGUAAUAGCUCACUGGUCGAGUCGGCCUGCGCGGAAGAUGUAACGGGGCUAAACCAUGCACCGAAGCUGCGGCAGCGACACUAUGUGUUGUUGGGUAGGGGAGCGUUCUGUAAGCCUGCGAAGGUGUGCUGUGAGGCAUGCUGGAGGUAUCAGAAGUGCGAAUGCUGACAUAAGUAACGAUAAAGCGGGUGAAAAGCCCGCUCGCCGGAAGACCAAGGGUUCCUGUCCAACGUUAAUCGGGGCAGGGUGAGUCGACCCCUAAGGCGAGGCCGAAAGGCGUAGUCGAUGGGAAACAGGUUAAUAUUCCUGUACUUGGUGUUACUGCGAAGGGGGGACGGAGAAGGCUAUGUUAGCCGGGCGACGGUUGUCCCGGUUUAAGCAUGUAGGCUGGUUGUCCAGGCAAAUCCGGAUAAUCAAGGCUGAGGUGUGAUGACGAGGCACUACGGUGCUGAAGUAACAAAUGCCCUGCUUCCAGGAAAAGCCUCUAAGCAUCAGGUAACAUCAAAUCGUACCCCAAACCGACACAGGUGGUCAGGUAGAGAAUACCAAGGCGCUUGAGAGAACUCGGGUGAAGGAACUAGGCAAAAUGGUGCCGUAACUUCGGGAGAAGGCACGCUGGUGUGUAGGUGAAGUCCCUGCGGAUGGAGCUGAGACCAGUCGAAGAUACCAGCUGGCUGCAACUGUUUAUUAAAAACACAGCACUGUGCAAACACGAAAGUGGACGUAUACGGUGUGACGCCUGCCCGGUGCCGGAAGGUUAAUUGAUGGGGUUAUCCGUAAGGAGAAGCUCUUGAUCGAAGCCCCGGUAAACGGCGGCCGUAACUAUAACGGUCCUAAGGUAGCGAAAUUCCUUGUCGGGUAAGUUCCGACCUGCACGAAUGGCGUAAUGAUGGCCAGGCUGUCUCCACCCGAGACUCAGUGAAAUUGAACUCGCUGUGAAGAUGCAGUGUACCCGCGGCAAGACGGAAAGACCCCGUGAACCUUUACUAUAGCUUGACACUGAACAUUGAGCCUUGAUGUGUAGGAUAGGUGGGAGGCUUUGAAGCGUGGACGCCAGUCUGCGUGGAGCCAACCUUGAAAUACCACCCUUUAAUGUUUGAUGUUCUAACGUUGGCCCCUUACCGGGGUUGCGGACAGUGUCUGGUGGGUAGUUUGACUGGGGCGGUCUCCUCCCAAAGCGUAACGGAGGAGCACGAAGGUUAGCUAAUCCUGGUCGGACAUCAGGAGGUUAGUGCAAUGGCAUAAGCUAGCUUGACUGCGAGCGUGACGGCGCGAGCAGGUGCGAAAGCAGGUCAUAGUGAUCCGGUGGUUCUGAAUGGAAGGGCCAUCGCUCAACGGAUAAAAGGUACUCCGGGGAUAACAGGCUGAUACCGCCCAAGAGUUCAUAUCGACGGCGGUGUUUGGCACCUCGAUGUCGGCUCAUCACAUCCUGGGGCUGAAGUAGGUCCCAAGGGUAUGGCUGUUCGCCAUUUAAAGUGGUACGCGAGCUGGGUUUAGAACGUCGUGAGACAGUUCGGUCCCUAUCUGCCGUGGGCGCUGGAGAAUUGAGGGGGGCUGCUCCUAGUACGAGAGGACCGGAGUGGACGCAUCACUGGUGUUCGGGUUGUCAUGCCAAUGGCACUGCCCGGUAGCUAAAUGCGGAAGAGAUAAGUGCUGAAAGCAUCUAAGCACGAAACUUGCCCCGAGAUGAGUUCUCCCUGAGACUUUAAGUCUCCUGAAGGAACGUUAAAGACGAUGACGUUGAUAGGCCGGGUGUGUAAGCGCAGCGAUGCGUUGAGCUAACCGGUACUAAUGAACCGUGAGGCUUAACCUU